AGAGUUUGAUCCUGGCUCAGGACGAACGCUGGCGGCGUGCCUAACACAUGCAAGUCGAGCGGAGAUAUACUGAAGAGUAAUCAGAUGUAUAUCUUAGCGGCGGACGGGUGAGUAACGCGUGGGCAACCUACCUCUAACUGGGGGAUAACACUGGGAAACUAGUGCUAAUACCGCAUAACAUAUUUACAGGGCAUCCUGUAGAUAUCAAAGGAGCAAUCCGGUGAGAGAUGGGCCCGCGUCCAAUUAGCUAGUUGGUGAGAUAACAGCCCACCAAGGCGACGAUUGGUAGCCGAACUGAGAGGUUGAUCGGCCACAUUGGGACUGAGACACGGCCCAGACUCCUACGGGAGGCAGCAGUGGGGAAUAUUGCGCAAUGGGGGAAACCCUGACGCAGCAACGCCGCGUGAAGGAUGAAGGUUUUCGGAUUGUAAACUUCUUUGAUGAGGGACGAACAAGAUGACGGUACCUCAAAAACAAGCCACGGCUAACUACGUGCCAGCAGCCGCGGUAAUACGUAGGUGGCGAGCGUUGUCCGGAAUUACUGGGUGUAAAGGGCGUGUAGGCGGGGAGACAAGUCAGAUGUGAAAUACCGAGGCUUAACUUCGGGGCUGCAUCUGAAACUGUUUUUCUUGAGUGUCGGAGAGGAAAGUGGAAUUCCUAGUGUAGCGGUGAAAUGCGUAGAUAUUAGGAGGAACACCAGUGGCGAAGGCGACUUUCUGGACGAUAACUGACGCUGAGGCGCGAAAGCGUGGGGAGCAAACAGGAUUAGAUACCCUGUAGUCCACGCCGUAAACGAUGGAUACUAGGUGUAGGAGGUAUCGACCCCUUCUGUGCCGCAUUAACACAAUAAGUAUCCCACCUGGG
rnacentral:rRNA from 1 species